CAAAGUCAUGGUUAAGUGGGAAACGAUGUGGGAAGGCCCAGACAGCCAGGAUGUUGGCUUAGAAGCAGCCAUCAUUUAAAGAAAGCGUAAUAGCUCACUGGUCGAGUCGGCCUGCGCGGAAGAUGUAACGGGGCUAAACCAUGCACCGAAGCUGCGGCAGCGACACUAUGUGUUGUUGGGUAGGGGAGCGUUCUGUAAGCCUGUGAAGGUGUGCUGUGAGGCAUGCUGGAGGUAUCAGAAGUGCGAAUGCUGACAUAAGUAACGAUAAAGCGGGUGAAAAGCCCGCUCGCCGGAAGACCAAGGGUUCCUGUCCAACGUUAAUCGGGGCAGGGUGAGUCGACCCCUAAGGCGAGGCCGAAAGGCGUAGUCGAUGGGAAACAGGUUAAUAUUCCUGUACUUGGUGUUACUGCGAAGGGGGGACGGAGAAGGCUAUGUUGGCCGGGCGACGGUUGUCCCGGUUUAAGCGUGUAGGCUGGUUUUCCAGGCAAAUCCGGAAAAUCAAGGCUGAGGCGUGAUGACGAGGCACUACGGUGCUGAAGCAACAAAUGCCCUGCUUCCAGGAAAAGCCUCUAAGCAUCAGGUAACAUCAAAUCGUACCCCAAACCGACACAGGUGGUCAGGUAGAGAAUACCAAGGCGCUUGAGAGAACUCGGGUGAAGGAACUAGGCAAAAUGGUGCCGUAACUUCGGGAGAAGGCACGCUGAUAUGUAGGUGAAGCGACUUGCUCGUGGAGCUGAAAUCAGUCGAAGAUACCAGCUGGCUGCAACUGUUUAUUAAAAACACAGCACUGUGCAAACACGAAAGUGGACGUAUACGGUGUGACGCCUGCCCGGUGCCGGAAGGUUAAUUGAUGGGGUUAGCGCAAGCGAAGCUCUUGAUCGAAGCCCCGGUAAACGGCGGCCGUAACUAUAACGGUCCUAAGGUAGCGAAAUUCCUUGUCGGGUAAGUUCCGACCUGCACGAAUGGCGUAAUGAUGGCCAGGCUGUCUCCACCCGAGACUCAGUGAAAUUGAACUCGCUGUGAAGAUGCAGUGUACCCGCGGCAAGACGGAAAGACCCCGUGAACCUUUACUAUAGCUUGACACUGAACAUUGAGCCUUGAUGUGUAGGAUAGGUGGGAGGCUUUGAAGUGUGGACGCCAGUCUGCAUGGAGCCGACCUUGAAAUACCACCCUUUAAUGUUUGAUGUUCUAACGUUGACCCGUAAUCCGGGUUGCGGACAGUGUCUGGUGGGUAGUUUGACUGGGGCGGUCUCCUCCUAAAGAGUAACGGAGGAGCACGAAGGUUGGCUAAUCCUGGUCGGACAUCAGGAGGUUAGUGCAAUGGCAUAAGCCAGCUUGACUGCGAGCGUGACGGCGCGAGCAGGUGCGAAAGCAGGUCAUAGUGAUCCGGUGGUUCUGAAUGGAAGGGCCAUCGCUCAACGGAUAAAAGGUACUCCGGGGAUAACAGGCUGAUACCGCCCAAGAGUUCAUAUCGACGGCGGUGUUUGGCACCUCGAUGUCGGCUCAUCACAUCCUGGGGCUGAAGUAGGUCCCAAGGGUAUGGCUGUUCGCCAUUUAAAGUGGUACGCGAGCUGGGUUUAGAACGUCGUGAGACAGUUCGGUCCCUAUCUGCCGUGGGCGCUGGAGAACUGAGGGGGGCUGCUCCUAGUACGAGAGGACCGGAGUGGACGCAUCACUGGUGUUCGGGUUGUCAUGCCAAUGGCACUGCCCGGUAGCUAAAUGCGGAAGAGAUAAGUGCUGAAAGCAUCUAAGCACGAAACUUGCCCCGAGAUGAGUUCUCCCUGACUCCUUGAGAGUCCUGAAGGAACGUUGAAGACGACGACGUUGAUAGGCCGGGUGUGUAAGCGCAGCGAUGCGUUGAGCUAACCGGUACUAAUGAACCGUGAGGCUUAACCU
rnacentral:rRNA from 1 species